AUUGAACGCUGGCGGCAGGCCUAACACAUGCAAGUCGAGCGGAGCGGCGGACGGGUGAGUAAUGCCUAGGACUCUGCCUGGUAGGGGGGGAUAACGUCCGGAAACGGGCGCUAAUACCGCAUACUAUCAGAUGAGCCUAGGUCGGAUUAGCUAGUUGGAGGGGUGAAGGCCUACCAAGGCUACGAUCCGUAACUGGUCUGAGAGGAUGAUCAGUCAGUCCGGAAGUGAGACACGGUCCAGACUCGUACGGUAGGCAGCAGUGGGGAAUAUUUGACAAUGGGCGAAAGCCUGAUGCAGCCAUGCCGCGUGUGUGACGAAGGUCUUCGGAUUGUAAAGCACUUUAAGUUGGGAGGCGUUACCCACAGAAUAAGCACCGGCUAACUUCGUGCCAGCAGCCGCGGUAAUAC
rnacentral:rRNA from 1 species